GGGUCACUAGGUUGGUCGUGCCACCGGUACGUACUGGUCUCACUGAUUCCUCCUUCCUGAAGAACCGUAAUGCCAUUAAUUUGGUGUUGCGGGGAAACAGGACUGUUACUUUGAAAAAAUUAGAGUGUUUAAAGCAAGCUAACGCUUGAAUACCUUAGCAUGGAAUAAUGAAAUAGGACGAUCGAUCCUAUUUUGUUGGUUUCUAGGAUUGACGUAAUGAUUAAUAGGGAUUGUUUGG
rnacentral:rRNA from 1 species